UAGUAAAACGCUCUUUUCGCUAUCAAGUUUUUAACCCUUGGAUGAAAAAUUCUAGGGUCAGGAUGAUAUUAGUCGGUUAGAACUGAGUGGUCCCCCUAGGGUUGAGUGGUCCCCACUGGGUUAUAGUAUUUAAACCAAUGGUUAGAAAUAAUGAAAAGAGUUGAUCCAAAGGCUAAAAAACUGGUAGCAACAAUGAGAUUUUGCUACUAAUAGUAGCCCAGUCCAACUCUCUCUCUCUCUCUAUAUAUAUAUAUA
rnacentral:lncRNA from 1 species